AUUUUCUCUGAAAAACAGACUUCCCCUCCCACAGCUUGAGCUUUAUCUGUUCUUUGUUUGAAAAUAAAUGCAUGGUACAUGUGAAUACUGGAGAGCUUAGGGUGUGUGUGUGUGUGUGUGUGUGUGUGUGUGUGUGUUCCUCUGCUGUCCCCAACCCAGAAUCAUCUUUGAGCCUUUCAUGAGACAGUUUCAGCAUGGUUUUAGUCCCUGGGGCACCUUCUUCAAGAAGGACUUGAGAAGACCUCUUGUGUGAAGGCUGAUGAAUCUGAUUUCGCUGCCAAAUUACCCCAAGCAAUCUAGCCAAAUAGAGUGUGCACCAUGGGCUCUGUCACCACCAUAUGUCCCCUGAACAACUCCAGUGGGAUGUGGGACAAGAUGUACAAUCAGCUCCUUUCAAACCUAGCUCCUCCACUGCGAAUUUCAGGAUGCAUUGAUUCACGCCUAGGCAAAUCCAGCCAUCAAUCUGAC
rnacentral:lncRNA from 1 species